ACUUUUAAAGAAAACUAUACGCGUACAAAUUGAUGUGGAUAAAAUUAUUUUCAACAUGAGCCAACUUUCGAGAAAAUCGCGUAUGAGUUACGUUCACCAAGCGCAAAAAACAAAUCAUCGGAGACACAUAAUGAGAAAAAAGCAACGAACUAUUCCGCUCGUUAGUGAAGAUGAUAUGCCGGAUACUUUGCAGGUCACGGUAAUCAACCAGCCGGUACAUGAAGAUCAUCAUCAGCCAGUAAUUCGCCUUGAAAAAAAAGAUCAAAAGGUCGUGCAAGACAUGUCGUUGGAAGAUAUUUCCAGCACCGACGAGGAAGACGUCUGUGAGAUGGGAGAUACAAAUGAUCAAAUUGAGCAAACGGAUGAAGCCGUAAGUGACGGCUCAGCCAGUGCUUCAGAGGCCGAAGAGAAUCCGGAGUUUGAACCAUUUAAUGAUUAUGGGCAGGAAACGAAGGAAGAAUUAACCGGAAGCGAUAAUACCACGGUAAUACACAUAUAUAUCUCAUACCUUAAAUAGCAUACUUAACCGUUCUCGCGUCAGAUUGAAAUCUAGCUUUUUUUUAAAUUAAAGCUGCACUGCCGUGUGCAGCAUAAAUAUCGCAUUGCGUUUUCCUACGAGCUUGUCCCAUUCGCUCUAACUCAAAUUAUGUUUUCGAAUCAAAGUCAGAAAGAUGCAUAACGUUAUCGUGGGAUAUUGAGCUGUGAAACAAGAUGGAAAAAUAUCUAAUUCACAUUAAUUGGUCCUGUGACUGAGAAAAAUACGACUUGUACUAAAAACGCAAUGGGACAAUUCUAGAGCAACAUGUCUAAAGGAUCUAUCUGACUUUUGUAAACAAACACGUUUCUGUCGAGAUAGACCCUUUCUUCAUCCUCCCAUGCACUUCAACACCACUAUCAGAACGAGCCAACUACAAGCUAUCUGCUAAGGGUAUUGAUGUGCGUGGGAGGAUGACGAAAGGGUCUAUCUCGACAGAAACGUUUGUAUCCUUUAGACAUGUUGCUCUAGCAUUAUGCUGCACACGGCAGUGCAGCAGGUUUUAAUUUUUCGGUAUACAGUAGACGUUCGAUAAGUGCAACAUGUUUACGUUUCAGUUACCGAAUGUUAACCGAUAACUGCAACAACUGACAGACGUCAAAGAGCUGAAAGAAUGUAGAUUUAAUGAAUCUAAACAAUCUAUUUUAUCGAAUUACUUUUCCACUUUCAUUGCAGGAGUUCAUGUCUGAUUCGGAACUACUCCAUCCCAGUUUGAAAUUGACUAAAGCGGAAGUUAUGUUCAUUUUAAUGAACGUGUUUCUUCGUCACAAUCUGAGUAACGUCGCAAUUUGUGACAUUCUUCAGAUUAUAAAUUUGAUUGUGGGAUUCAAAUCCCUUCCUGAUACGUAUUCAGAGUUCAGCAAAUUUUUUUCGAAAAGCAAUUACACGAGGCAUCACGUAUGCGAGAAAUGUGAUUUCUACAUUGGAGAAACGUUGCAGAGCUGUGUGAAUUGUAAGAGUAACAGUACAUUUUUUUCGUAACCUUCGAUUUCAAAUCGAAUUUACGAGAUAUUCUCGUCCGGAACUGGCAUGCGAUCGUGCAACACCAAGCAGCAUCCAAGUUAUCACAACAUGUUACAGAUUUACUAAACGCUGGAGUAGCUCAAUCCAAAAGUAUAAAAAAACUCAAUAACUCUUACACUGAAUACGGACGGCGUGAGCAUCUUCAAUUCAAAUACAAAAAAAUCGUUAUGGCCCUUGAUUAUCUGCAUUAACGAUUUACCACCAAACAUUCGUUUCCUAAGGAAAAAUAUUAUAAUUGCUGGUUUAUGGUUACAAAAUGGUGAACCGAAUCUUGAUGUAUUUUUAAAGCCAUUAAGCGAAAUGCUCAAACGAGUGUAUCAUAAUGGCUUAAAUCUAGGUUCAGUUCUAAUAGACAGAGUUUACAUGGUUGCCUGUUGUGUCGACACAAAAGCAAGGUGCAAAGUGCAGAAUUUUAAACAGUUCAACGGCUAUGAUGCUUGCAGCUUCUGUUCCCACCCUGGAGACGAGGUCAACAAGCAAAUACGUUAUGGUUACAAAGACAAUAUUUCGAAACGGAACCUGGCAGAUACGCUUCGUGCUAUGGCCGUUAGCAACUCUCGUGGUGUCGCUGUUAAUGGGGUGAAGGGAAUAUCGCCUUUAAUAAGAAUACCUGAGUUCGAUGUAAUACGCAACUGCCCGGUUGACUAUAUGCAUUGUAUAUUACUAGGAGUGUGUCGCCAACUAUGCCGCAUAUGGUUUGAGGCUCCUAGCAGUCCCAGUUAUAUAAAAGAUAAAAUGAGCUCUAUCGAUAACGUAUUAACUACUAUGGGUCCAUUCGUUGAAUCCUCGCGAAACGCUAGAAAAAUAACAGAUAGGCAUUUAUGGAAAGCAAACGAAUGACUCCAAUGGCUGCUCCAUUUUAGUCCAGUCUGCCUUAAACAAUUUUUGCCACAAGUAUAUUACGAUCAUUACUACCUCUUAGUUUCGUCUAUUACGUUGCUGCUUCAGGAAGAAAUAUGUGCAGAAGUAUUUGAAAACUGUGCAGCAAUGCUACAGAAAUUUGUCAAACAGUUUGAGCAGCUCUAUGGAAUUAAGGAAAUGACUUAUAACGUCCACCUUGUAACACAUUUAGUGGACUGUUGCAGAGAUUACGGACCACUGUGGACAUUUUCGCUUUUUGUGUUUGAAGACAUUAAUGGAGUUUUGAAGAAAUUUGUUGUAGGGCCAAAAGAGCCAAUCAUUCAGAUUACAAAUAGAUGCAUCAUGACACACACAAAAAACAAUGCAGAGGUUAGCUUUAUGAAAUCAAAUGUAAAAUCUUUUUGGGACAAAUUGAAUCGAUCACAAUUGAAUACUUCAAAUAAAAUUCCAGAAUUUUAUUAUUUAGAUACACAUAUUUUGAACAAGUAUAGUGAUAAUCGUAGGUUUGAAAAAGUAUUGUCUUUUACAUAUAGUGGAUAUACUUUCAAACCGAAACUAGAGAUAGAUUUUUAUUGCAAGCAUAAAUAAAGACAGCAUAAUGACUGUUAUUUUUCUUUGGACGACGCAUCAGGAGAUUUAUAUGGAGAAAUUUUGAGUAUUCUAAAAGACACAUUUGGUACCUACUUCUUAUGCAAAAUCAUCAUUACAGAAAAGAUAAACGAUCAUCACCGAAAAGCACA